rnacentral:rRNA from 1 species
AGCAGUAGCCACGGUAAUACGUAGGUCCCGAGCGUUGUCCGGAUUUAUUGGGCGUAAAGCGAGCGCAGGCGGUUAGAUAAGUCUGAAGUUAAAGGCUGUGGCUUAACCAUAGUAUGCUUUGGAAACUGUUUAACUUGAGUGCAGAAGGGGAGAGUGGAAUUCCAUGUGUAGCGGUGAAAUGCGUAGAUAUAUGGAGGAACACCGGUGGCGAAAGCGGCUCUCUGGUCUGUAACUGACGCUGAGGCUCGAAAGCGUGGGGAGCAAACAGGAUUAGAUACCCCUGUAGUCCCUGUCUCUUAUACC